ensembl:lncRNA
AUAUAUAUAUAUAUAUAUAUAUAUAUAUGUAUUUUUAAUGCAGAAUAUAUGUUAUAUAAAUAUAUGAAAUGUAGAAUAUAUAAAAAAGUGUUCGUGGCUCGGGUGCCCCCCAAAGAUCCCUCAGUGCAACAGCAUUCAGCAGUGAGUUAAACAAUGCUCAAUGUCAUGUGCAAUAGCAGUAAGCAGUUUUAAGUGUUUUCUGGUCAUAAUGCUGCAUAAUGUAUUUUUAUCAGAGGCUGGUUGAUGUUAAUAAAUUGCUAUAAUUAUGAUCGAUUAAUCAAUGAUUAGUGCAAUGCAAUCAAUCAUUUAUUUAUUUAUUCAUUUAUUUGUGACGAUGUCAUUGUAUGUCGGGAUCCCAAGGUCCACUGCGAUUUUCCACUCAACAAGAACAAAAGUUAAUCAAAAGAGAUGGGAACAAUCCUUAUCGACUUCCCACGACUCUCUAACCAUUAGGGUUGUGAGUUCGAGUCUCCGGCCGGCAGGAAUUGUGGGUGGGGGGAGUGCAUGUACAGUUCUCUCUCCACCUUCAAUACCAUGACUUAGGUGCCCUUGAGCAAGGCAUCGAACCCCCAACUGCUCCCCGGGUGCAGCAUAAAAAAAUGGCUGCCCACUGCUCCGGGUGUGUGUUCACAGUGUGUGUGUGUGUUCACUGCUCUGUGUGUGUGCACUUCAGAUGGGUUAAAUGCAGAGCACAAAUUCUGAGUAUGGGUCACCAUACUUGGCUGAAUGUCACGUCACUCACUCACUUAAAUUUACGGAACAAAAUCUGUUGAAUCAGAUCAAGAAGUUGUGUUUAGAACCUUUAGAAAUGCAAGGCAGCAAUUUCGGUAGCAAAUUUAGCUAAUUAACUCCAAGUGUAUUUAUUUAUUUAUUGCCACAUAUAAUCAUGCAGGUACAAUCAUAGGACAAUGUAUGGUUUUGUUAUGAUGUGUUUUCAGUUACCCAUAUUACAGUAGCUCACAACAAUUUAGCCAAUAUAUAAAAGUUCAGAUGAAGAACAGUGUUGCCUGUUGGUGUGUUUUCCAGCCUAGUAAUUGUUGAAAAUCCACACAAAAUUAGAUAAUAAACACAGAAAUCUUAUUCAUAAUUCAUAACUGAUUCAUAAGUAUUUCAUUAUUUUACAAAAGCGCAAUGUUUUGUUGUUAUAGUGAGUGUACACAAAUAAACGUAGAAGCAUUACAGAUUCGAAAGAUAUAUUCCUCUUAUCUGUAUAAGAGGAAUAUAUACAGAUAAGAGGAAUGUUUUAACAAGAUGGCGGCGCGUCCACACGCAGCGGCUUCUCUCUGUCCCGACAGAACGGUGUUUUCGUGUUUUUUGUCCUGUGAGUCGCAGUGUUUUUGUACGUCAUCAUCGCGUCUAUCUGUCUUUAAGCGCGCAUACAGUCGUGAGUUUCUGCUGGAUGUUGGCAGAGCCGCAUUUUUAGAGUUAAACUCCGCGCACGCGGAACAGCUACGGGCCCUCGGACUGCUCCGGAGGCCUACAUCAUCACCGACCCCCACUACUGCAUCUCGCCCACAGCGGAGGCGCCACAAGCGGCGUGAGAGGAAGCAGAAGAGGGGUAAGCGUGGAGGUAUCCGGGCUAGGCUAACGGCUAACCCACACAAGCCAUCUAUCCCCACCGUCGUACUGGCUAACGUACGCUCUUUGGACAAUAAACUGGACUACAUCCGAUUACUACGUUCAACUCAGAGGACUGUAAGAGACUGUUGUGUAUUUGUAUUCACGGAAGCAUGGCUCAGCGACAGCGUUCCGGACUGCGCCAUUCAGCUCGACCAGCUGACGUGCUAUCGAGCAGACAGAGCUCGCGUCGCAGGAGGAAAAACCCGCGGCGCCGGGCUUUGUGUUUACAUCAAUGACGCGUGGUGCCGCGAUUCUUACUCCCAUCCUCAUGAAGUGCUUCGAACGGCUAGUCAUGCACCACAUCAAGUCUGCC